rnacentral:rRNA from 1 species
UGCAGUCGAACGAUGACGGUGGUGCUUGCACCGCCUGAUUAGUGGCGAACGGGUGAGUAACACGUGAGUAACCUGCCCCCCACUUCGGGAUAACCUCGGGAAAUCGUGGCUAAUACCGGAUAUGAGCACUCAUCGCAUGGUGGGUGUUGGAAAGAUUUAUCGGUGGGGGAUGGACUCGCGGCCUAUCAGUUUGUUGGUGAGGUGAUGGCUCACCAAGACGAUGACGGGUAGCCGGCCUGAGAGGGCGACCGGCCACACUGGGACUGAGACACGGCCCAGACUCCUACGGGAGGCAGCAGUGGGGAAUAUUGCACAAUGGGCGAAAGCCUGAUGCAGCGACGCCGCGUGGGGGAUGACGGCCUUCGGGUUGUAAACCCCUUUCAGUAGGGAAGAAGCGAAAGUGACGGUACCUGCAGAAGAAGCGCCGGCUAACUACGUGCCAGCAGCCGCGGUAAUACGUAGGGCGCAAGCGUUGUCCGGAAUUAUUGGGCGUAAAGAGCUUGUAGGUGGCUUGUCGCGUCUGCCGUGAAAACCCGAGGCUCAACCUCGGGCGUGCGGUGGGUACGGGCAGGCUAGAGUGUGGUAGGGGAGACUGGAACUCCUGGUGUAGCGGUGAAAUGCGCAGAUAUCAGGAAGAACACCGAUGGCGAAGGCAGGUCUCUGGGCCAUUACUGACACUGAGAAGCGAAAGCAUGGGUAGCGAACAGGAUUAGAUACCCUGGUAGUCCAUGCCGUAAACGUUGGGCACUAGGUGUGGGGGGACAUUCCACGUUUUCCGCGCCGUAGCUAACGCAUUAAGUGCCCCGCCUGGGGGAGUACGGGCCGCAAGGCUAAAACUCAAAGGAAUUGACGGGGGCCCGCACAAGCGGCGGAGCAUGCUGAUUAAUUC